GUUGUGCGCGUGCGAGCCACCGGUCUAAAGCGGUGGUGGCGCGUGUUUUGCGUGGUUAGUGGGCGUAAAGGUGGCUGGGGGGGUGGUGUAAGUGGGGGUUGAAGUCUCUUGGCUUAACUGGGAGGGGACGCUCAAGACUGCUUGGCUUGAGGUCGAGAGGGGGGUGCAGAAUUCCCGGUGUAGUGGUGGAAUGCGUAGAUAUCGGGAGGAAUACCAGUGGCGAAAGCGGCGCCCUGGCUCGCACCUGACACUGAGGCGCGAAAGCGUGGGGAGCGAACGGGAUUAGAUACCCUAGUAGUC
rnacentral:rRNA from 1 species